rnacentral:rRNA from 1 species
GAUGAACGCUGGCGGCGUGCCUAACACAUGCAAGUCGAGCGGCAGCGAGGGGUGCUUGCACCCUGUCGGCGAGCGGCGGACGGCUGAGUAACGCGUGGGAACGUGCCCCAAAGUGAGGAAUAACUGCCCGAAAGGGUAGCUAAUACCGCAUAUUAUCUUCGGAUCAAAGGAUUUAUCCGCUUUGGGAGCGGCUCGCGUCGGAUUAGGUAAUUGGUGAGGUAAUGGCUCACCAAGCCGACGAUCCGUAGCUGGUCUGAGAGGAUGACCAGCCAGACUGGAACUGAGACACGGUCCAGACUCCUACGGGAGGCAGCAGUGAGGAAUCUUCCACAAUGGGCGAAAGCCUGAUGGAGCAACGCCGCGUGCAGGACGAAGGCCUUCGGGUUGUAAACUGCUUUUAUAAGUGAGGAAUAUGACGGUAACUUAUGAAUAAGGAUCGGCUAACUACGUG